rnacentral:tmRNA from 1 species
GGGGGUGCACCGGUUUCGACGGGUGUGAUCGUGAUCUUGAACUGCAAGUGAGGUCGCCAGUCCUCUAAACUGACAAAAACUAUAAUUGCCAAUACUGACAAUUAUUCAGAUUACGCACUAGCUGCAUAAUCUCGGAACUCAAGUUGUGCCGCUCUGAACGGCUUGAAGUUCCGUUGCUAACCAGAGCUUGCUGAUUGUGGUGUCUGAUACACUUUCGGGACUUUUAUCAGAAUAAGGCGCCGACGCUUGUGAUGCUGCUACCGGAGCCCGACAACUACCUCGCAUUACUAAACUUGUAGACGUUCCUGGUUCGCUCACUCGGACGGGAGUUCAAUUCUCCCCAUCUCCAA